ACAGUCCUCUUGGCACAGUGUCCAGCCACCGGGGCUCUGGAAUAAAGGAUCUGCUGGCUUGGUCAUGCAGAGAGAUGAGCCCUGGUCCCACCUGUCACCCAUCGCCCCGCGGGGGCAGCAGGCAGGAAGGGAGCCAGGAGAUAGGGGGCCGAGAAGGGGGUCCUUCCUCCACCCUGGGGGGCUGCGCGGACCGGGUUGGGAGCCGGGGCAAGCUCGGGCCAGCGUGCGGGGAAGGCCCGAGACCCUGGUAGACGUCAGGUCGGUUCAGGGGCUGCUCGGUGCGGGCGCAGUCAAAUGCACAGACUUGACAGUGUCUUCAUUGAGAACUUGCCAUCUGAAGUUCUCCCGGGCUCCUUCAGACACCGGAGGAGAGGCAGGAGGGAACCUGACAGGAAGUGAGGAUUCGAGACUUCAAAUACAAACAUUAUGAAAAACAAGCAACAUCUGCAAACAACACUCUCGCAAAGGCACUUCCUGGACAGUUGGAUGUAACCGAGCAAUCUCUGUGCAGCAGGAAACCAGAGAAGGUGGACUUUCAGCAGCCCUCAUAUUUGGAUAAUCCCGCAUAAUGAUUUCAGGGCUUCGUCUGGAAAGCUCCACUGGCUCCCCUCCACGCUAGGCGCCUGGCCCUGCUGGUUGACCCCCGUUAAGGGAGGGGAGAGAGAGAGAGAGAGAGAGAGAGAGAGAGAGAGAGAUCCUGGUGUGUAAACAAACAAUUUAUUGCUGCUUCUGCGAAAUGUAAACAAAGUCCACACCCCUUGCCCCGGGAUCAGUGGGCCUGGCCGAGUCUAGUUUGACAGCACAAGCGUCCUGCGCCUCCGAGUCGCCUCCUCAACAUCCUGGAAACUCUAGAGGGAGAAAUCCUGCACGAGUGGCUGCUGUCUGCGCCUCGUGGAAUCUUAGAAACAGGCCUCCGACAAUCAAUAUUACUGACAAAUUAAUCUCUGCGAAUAAACUGUUGUUAGCUUCCA